rnacentral:lncRNA from 1 species
GAAAAAGAGCUUGUUUGGACUGUAGCAUCUCAGAAGUGUGACGCCAGUCAAAUGGCAAGGCAUUUUUCAAGCAGCAGAGUUAUCUGGAGCAGACAAGUGUGGCUAGCUCUAGAGAUGAACCAGCUGACAGAAACACUGCUAGAAACAAGGAAUACACGCGUCGUCGUCGUCCACAGGCCGGUCAGAAGAAGGGAGGGAGGGAGGGAGAGAAGAAUCGACGGGUGGUGUGCUAAGAUCGGUCCCGACAAACACUAGACAACGCCGGGACGAGUGGCGCCCGCGGUGGCCACGCGCUCCGUGUCGCUGCGCCACGGCGCUACGGCCACCUUCGCCGCGUGGGUGGUUGCUAGCUAGCUUGUCGCCUUACUGUCGUCCCCGUCCACGUUCAGGUUCAGCCUCCUGGGUCUGGGUGGCCCCAGCCGUGCGCGGCCGCCAUGCAUGUACGGACUACGGAGAAGCAGGCAAUCGAGCGCGGCAGGCAGGUAGCAUCUGCGCGCGGCUAGGUGUCGCCGUCCGAUACCCUUACUAUACUUUGCACUGAUGACUGAUGGCACAGGCAGGGACGACGCCGGGCACACCGGCCGUACCGUGUCGCCGCUCGGCCGGGCGGGAUCGGAGGUGAACGUACGUGCGCGCGAACGGACGGCGCGGCGGCUUAUUGCCGGAGGGAGGGCCGGGUCGGGGCGGAUGAUAUAUAUGACGCCGUACGUCAUGCCCACGCCGACCGAGCGAGCAUGCAGCGCAGGGCCCAUGCUAGACAGUGGCCCUCCGUCGUGUCACCCUCCGGCGGAUCGAUCGGAUUUCGGAUCCCUCUCUAGAUCUCCCUCCCUCCACCAGUGGGCAGUCCAUCUCCACGCCACGCCAGAGAAUAUCUCCGGCCGACCACCGCCGCGCGGCCGGGGGAUGGGAACGAAAACGAACAAGCCCUGUCCGCCUCAUCACCGUCGCUCUCGAUCGCCACCGUGCUGCAUGGCGCGCGGCGGCCUCUGGAGGAGGCGCAAGGGCCAGUAGGCCCCGCUGUCCCGCCCGCGCGGCUAGAAUUAGAUCGAUCGCAUCGCAUGGUCUCUCCGGCAUGCUACCCUAGCUCGCCGAGGGUGCCGACGCCCGAGAGGUAGUAGCUAGCCCUGGGCUCUGGCCACCACCCACCAUGCAUGAUUGCUCCCUUUUCCGCUUCCAAAUAAAGUUUGCGCGUAUCCAGCG